rnacentral:rRNA from 1 species
ACGGGUGAGGAAUACAUCGGAAUUUGCCCUGUCGUGGGGGAUAACGUAGGGAAACUUACGCUAAUACCGCAUACGACCUAACGGUGAAAGCGGGGGAUCGCAAGACCUCGCGCGGUUGGAUAAGCCGAUGUCAGAUUAGCUAGUUGGCGGGGUAAAGGCCCACCAAGGCGACGAUCUGUAGCUGGUCCGAGAGGAUGAUCAGCCACACUGGGACUGAGACACGGCCCAGACUCCUACGGGAGGCAGCAGUGGGGAAUAUUGGACAAUGGGGGCAACCCUGAUCCAGCAAUGCCGCGUGUGUGAAGAAGGCCUUCGGGUUGUAAAGCACUUUUAUCAGGAGCGAAACACGUAAGGUUAAUAACCUUGCGGACUGACGGUACCUGAGGAAUAAGCACCGGCUAACUUCGUGCCAGCAGCCGCGGUAAUACGAAGGGUGCAAGCGUUACUCGGAAUUACUGGGCGUAAAGCGUGCGUAGGUGGUUUCUUAAGUCUGCUGUGAAAGCCCCGGGCUCAACCUGGGAAUUGCAGUGGAUACUGGGGAGCUAGAGUGCGGUAGAGGGUAGUGGAAUUCCCGGUGUAGCGGUGA